CAAGCAGAGACAGCCUGCUGCGGCCCCCGCAGGGCCCACAGACACCCCCGAAGACAAAUACUCCGAGCUGCUGGCUCCGCACACCUAUGAAGAGACAGGCCACCUCGCUGCCCAGUCCUCCCAGUGCAGCUCAGUGUACUCCCAACCCGACCUCCCCAUCCCCUUCUACGCAGUGGGGAGAAACGUCCCGCAGCCUGAUCAGGGCUCUGCCAGGAGUGAUCAGUCUCUGUAUUCUGAAGUGGACCUGCAGGUAAGCAGAGCCAGGACUGGGGGAUCGCACUCUGUUACCCCCCCGCUUCCCAUUCCCAGUAUCCCCGCCUUCUCUCAGACUGGGAGACCCCCCCUCUGUGUGGGGAGCCCCUCCAGCUCGGGCUUCACCCCGCAGCCUCUCCCUCCAAGACAGAGUGCGCCCCCCUGCACCGAGAGGAGGCCCUGGGACCCCGAAGAGGUCGUUUACGAGCAAAUCGGAGAGAGGCUGCCUGCACGACCCCCCCUGCCCCGGAGGUACUGACCCAGCCCGCG